rnacentral:rRNA from 1 species
GGAAUAUUGGGCAAUGGAGGAAACUCUGACCCAGCGACGCCGCGUGAGGGAUGAAGGCCUUCGGGUUGUAAACCUCUUUCAGCAGGGAAGAAGCGAAAGUGACGGUACCUGCAGAAGAAGCACCGGCUAACUAUGUGCCAGCAGCCGCGGUAAUACAUAGGGUGCAAGCGUUGUCCGGAAUUAUUGGGCGUAAAGAGCUCGUAGGUGGUUAGUUACGUCGGAUGUGAAAAUCUAGGGCUCAACCCUAGACCUGCAUCCGAUACGGGCUAGCUUGAGUUUGGUAGGGGAGACUGGAAUUCCUGGUGUAGCGGUGGAAUGCGCAGAUAUCAGGAGGAACACCAAUGGCGAAGGCAGGUCUCUGGGCCAAUACUGACACUGAGGAGCGAAAGUGUGGGGAGCGAACAGGAUUAGAUACCCUGGUAGUCCACACAGUAAACGAUGGGCACUAGUUGUGGGAACCUUCCACGGUUUCUGCGACGCAGCUAACGCAUUAAGUGCCCCGCCUGGGGAGUACGAUCGCAAGAUUAAAACUCAAAGGAAUUGACGG